rnacentral:sRNA from 1 species
UUAAAAUAACCUAUGAUAGUUAAAGAACAACUUCAAGCUGGUCAUUUAGAGCCUAUGCUCAGCCCUUGGAACACACCCAUCUUUGUAAUUAGAAAAAAUCUGGUAAUUGGAGAUUAUUGCAAGACCUUAGAGCUAUUAAUUGGGUCUCAGAGCCCAUGGGAGCAUUACAAUCUGGGCUUCCUUCUCCUAUAGCUACUCCUUUAGAUUAUUAUUUGAUAGUUGUAGAUCUAAAAGAUUGUUUUUUCUCUAUACCUUUGCAUCCAGAUGACUGUAAAAAAUUUGCCUUUAG